rnacentral:rRNA from 1 species
GCCAGACUCCUACGGGAGGCAGCAGUGGGGAAUAUUGGGCAAUGGGCGCAAGCCUAACCCAGCAACGCCGCGUGAAGGAAGAAGGCUUUCGGGUUGUAAACUUCUUUUGUCAGGGACGAAGCAAGUGACGGUACCUGACGAAUAAGCCACGGCUAACUACGUGCCAGCAGCCGCGGUAAUACGUAGGUGGCAAGCGUUAUCCGGAUUUACUGGGUGUAAAGGGCGUGUAGGCGGGGAAGCAAGUCAGAUGUGAAAACCACGGGCUCAACCUGUGGCCUGCAUUUGAAACUGUUUUUCUUGAGUGCUGGAGAGGCAAUCGGAAUUCCGCGUGUAGCGGUGAAAUGCGUAGAUAUACGGAGGAACACCAGUGGCGAAGGCGGAUGACUGGACGGCAACUGACGGUGAGGCGCGAAAGCGUGGGGAGCAAACAGGAUUAGAUACCCCCGUAUC